CGAAAUGGCCUUCACCUCUUCUCAAACUUUAAAUAGGUAAGAACGCCGUGGUACUUAAUUGACCGUGGUGCUCGAAUGGCGAGUUCUUAGUGGGCCAUUUUUGGUAAGCAGAACUGGCGAUGCGGGAUGCUCCGAAAGCUGAGUUAAAGUGCCUAAAUGUACGCUCAUGUAGAACCCACAAAAGGUGUUGGUGCAUUUAGACAGCAGGACGGUGGCCAUGGAAGUCGG
rnacentral:rRNA from 1 species